rnacentral:rRNA from 4 species
AACUUUCAACAACGGAUCUCUUGGCUCUCGCAUCGAUGAAGAACGCAGCGAAAUGCGAUAAGUAAUGUGAAUUGCAGAAUUCAGUGAAUCAUCGAAUCUUUGAACGCACCUUGCGCCCCUUGGUAUUCCGAGGGGCAUGCCUGUUUG